GGAGGUGUGGCUGAGUGGUCGAAAGCGCCGGACUCGAAAUCCGGUAUACCCGAAAGGGUAUCAGAGGUUCGAAUCCUCUCGCCUCCG
rnacentral:tRNA from 1 species